rnacentral:misc_RNA from 1 species
GAUGAAGAACGUAGUGAAACGCGAUACGUAAUGUGAAUUGCAAAUUCAGUGAAUCAUCGAGUCUUUGAACGCACAUUGCGCCCCCUGGUAUUCCGGGGGGCAUGCCUGUCCGAGCGUCAUUGCUGCCCUCAAGCACGGCUUGUGUGUUGGGCCCCGUCCUCCGAUCCCGGGGGACGGGCCCGAAAGGCAGCGGCGGCACCGCGUCCGGUCCUCGAGCGUAUGGGGCUUUGUCACCCGCUCUGUAGGCCCGGCCGGCGCUUGCCGAUCAACCCAAAUUUUUAUCCAGGUUGACCUCGGAUCAGGUAGGGAUACCCGCUGAACUUAAGCAUAUCAAUAAGCGGAGGA